AAUAGAACCCUGGUAGUCCUAACUGUAAACGAUGAGCACUGGGUUGAGGGGACUUCCACAUCCUCUCGGCCGUAGCGAAAGCGUUAAGUGCUCCGCCUGGGGAGUAUGGCCGCAAGGCUGAAACUCAAAGGAAUUGACGGGGGGCUCACACAAGCGGUGGAGGAUGUGGCUUAAUUCGAGGCUACGCGAAGAACCUUAUCCUAGAUUUGACAUGGUUGAGAAUCUCCUUGAAAGAGGAGAGUGCCCUUCGGGGAGCUCUUUCACAGGUGCUGCAUGGCUGUCGUCAGCUCGUGUCGUGAGAUGUUGGGUUAAGUCCCUUAACGAGCGAAACCCUUAUCUUUAGUUGCCAGCGGGUCAAGCCGGGGACUCUAAAGAGACUGCCGGUGUCAAACCGGAGGAAGGUGGGGAUGACGUCAAGUCCUCAUGGCCUUUAUGUCUAGGGCUGCACACGUCCUACAAUGGCACGUACAAAGGGAAGCCAAGCCGCGAGGCCGCGCUAAUCCCAAAAAGCGUGCCCCAGUUCGGAUUGCAGG
rnacentral:rRNA from 1 species